AAUUGAAACAACAAUAUAUAACGUGUUUAAAACUGAUCUUCAGAAAUAAUUAUUUGGAACAAAAUAAUGUAUUUCACAAAACUAUUUUUCAUUGUGGUUAUUGCCAUUACUUUGUUUUUGAACUUCUCGGAAGCUGGACAAGCUGCCGCGAAAAUGGGUAAAGAAGCGACCAAAUUAGCUGGUAAUGCUUUAAAAAAAAACUCUAAGACUGCAGGAACAGUAGCAGGAGUAGGUGUUGCUGUCAAUUCAACUGCGAAUGUCAAUUAUAAGAAUAAAUCUGAAGCCAGAUCCAGAUCCAGCUCUCCCAGCGGAAGUAAAUCGAAAAGUGGUUAAUUUUUUUUAGUAAUGUUCAUUACCAUGAUACAAUAAUUGUAGAAGGUAGAAUCACUAGGGAGAGUUUUCAAUAUUUAGUUCUAUAACGUCAAACUUUGAUUUUUUUUUUAUAUUUUUUUUAUAUUUUCUUUUGUUUGACGUUACAAGAAUUGUAUAAUUGAGAAUUUAUUUUCUACUGAGUGUACCUUAUAUUGUUGUAUCAUGGUUCAUAAUAUGUAAAACAAUAAGAUAAUUGAUUAAAUGAAGAACAACUGAGUCUUUAAAAUAUA